CGUAGGGGGCGAGCGUUAUCCGGAAUCAUUGGGCGUAAAGGGCGCGUAGGCGGAUAUUUAAGUCAGGUGUGAAAACCCAGGGCUCAACCUUGGGAUUGCAUCUGAUACUGGGUAUCUUGAGGACAGGAGAGGAAAGUGGAAUUCCUAGUAUAGCGGUGAAAUGCGUAGAUAUUAGGAGGAACACCAGUGGCGAAGGCGACUUUCUGGACUGUAACUGACGCUGAGGCGCGAAAGCGUGGGGAGCAAACAGGAUUAGAUACCCUGGUAGUCCACGCCGUAAACGAUGAGUGCUAGGUGUAGGGGGUAUCGACCCCUCCUGUGCCGCAGUUAACACAACAAGCACUCCGCCUGGGGAGUACGGCCGCAAGGUUG
rnacentral:rRNA from 1 species